CGAAUUAUGGCUUCGAAAUACACCCCCUUCCUCUAUGGACAUGGAAAAAUGAGGUUUGGACACCGACUGGCGUAUCACAUCCAUGGCAUGUGGUCCGGAAACUCUCUCCCAACCAUGUACUACCUUGCCAUCCCCUCACUUUGCCUACUCAAAGGCAUAUCCUUGUUUCCAAAGGUUUCUAGCACGUGGUUCAUACCCUUUGCAUAUGUUGCCGUUGCAAGGCAAGCUUAUAGCUUGAUGGAGUCGCAAAUAAGUGGAGAGACACUGAUG
rnacentral:misc_RNA from 1 species